rnacentral:rRNA from 1 species
CGUAGGGGCCUAGCGUUGUCCGGAUUUAUUGGGCGUAAAGAGCUCGUAGGCGGCACGGUUAGUCAGGUGUGAAAUCUCCACGCUCAACGUGGAGGGGUCACCUGAUACUGCCGAGCUCGAGUCCGGUAGGGGAGUGUGGAAUUCCCGGUGUAGCGGUGAAAUGCGCAGAUAUCGGGAGGAACACCCGUAGCGAAGGCGGCACUCUGGGCCGGUACUGACGCUGAGGAGCGAAAGCGUGGGGAGCAAACAGGAUUAGAUACCCUGGUAGUCCACGCCGUAAACGUUGGGCACUAGGUGUGGGACUCUAUCGACGGGUUCCGUGCCGUAGCUAACGCAUUAAGUGCCCCGCCUGGGGAGUACGGCCGCAAGGCUA